rnacentral:rRNA from 1 species
CUACGGGUUGCUGCAGUGGGGAAUAUUGCACAAUGGAGGAAACUCUGAUGCAGCAACGCCGCGUGGAGGAUGACACUUUUCGGAGCGUAAACUCCUUUUAUAUAGGAAGAAGAUGACGGUACUAUAUGAAUAAGCGCCGGCUAACUCCGUGCCAGCAGCCGCGGUAAUACGGAGGGCGCAAGCGUUACUCGGAAUCACUGGGCGUAAAGGGCGUGUAGGCGGAUUAAAAAGUCAGAAGUGAAAUCCUAUAGCUUAACUAUAGAACUGCUUCUGAAACUCUUAAUCUAGAAUAUGGGAGAGGUAGAUGGGAUUUCUGGUGUAGGGGUAAUAUCCGUAGAGAUCAGAAGGAAUACCGAUUGCGAAGGCGAUCUACUAGAACAUUAUUGACGCUGAGACGCGAAAGCGUGGGGAGCAAACAGGAUUAGAUACCCCCGUAGUC